rnacentral:rRNA from 1 species
AGUGAACGCUGGCGGUAGGCCUAACACAUGCAAGUCGAACGGCAGCACAGUAAGAGCUUGCUCUUACGGGUGGCGAGUGGCGGACGGGUGAGGAAUACAUCGGAAUCUACUUUUUCGUGGGGGGUAACGUAGGGAAACUUACGCUAAUACCGCAUACGACCUACGGGUGAAAGCAGGGGAUCUUCGGACCUUGCGCGACUGAAUGAGCCGAUGUCGGAUUAGCUAGUUGGCGGGGUAAAGGCCCACCAAGGCGACGAUCCGUAGCUGGUCUGAGAGGAUGAUCAGCCACACUGGAACUGAGACACGGUCCAGACUCCUACGGGAGGCAGCAGUGGGGAAUAUUGGACAAUGGGCGCAAGCCUGAUCCAGCCAUACCGCGUGGGUGAAGAAGGCCUUCGGGUUGUAAAGCCCUUUUGUUGGGAAAGAAAAGCAGCAGGUUAAUACCCCGCUGUUCUGACGGUACCCAAAGAAUAAGCACCGGCUAACUUCGUG